GUGAGCGUCUUUCAAGUCCUUCGGUACACAUUCCGUUGAUGGGAUGCACCUCCUUAGAAGAAUGUAUUUUCACAUCCAACUGUUGGGCUUAUAGGGCUUGUUCUUGCUUUGUUUCAACUGUCUAUAUUGGGCCUUAUGGACUUUUAUGGGGGUUUCAUGGGCAGCCCAUGGUUAAUUCUUUACUCUAUCCCUUUUCCCUCGCUUUUUCUUUCACUUCAAGCAUCUCAAUUUCCUCCCUUUCCAGAAACUUCAGUAAGUUCAAUAUUCUUCUAAUUCUUUGUGUUCUUCGUUUCCUUAGAUCUUCCAAUUCGCUUAAUCUUAACUUUUACUCAGCUAUCAUAGUCAGUACCUCUGUAACCCGCUUCUAUUUCUUCCUCAAGUAAUUUAGGGAAAGAAGUGAUAUGGGUUCACGAUUGAGAACAAUUUAUCUUUAUUGGUAUGAGAUAUUUUGGGUUUUGGGUUUAUUCCCAAAAGUGGAAAAUAUCAUAUUAGGGAAUAAUGACCUUCCCUUACCUCCGUUACUGCUGCUAGUGCUCCAUUGGAGGCUCUGAUGUAAGUUUCAUUACUCAACUUUACUUUCUAGGAUUACCGGUGGAAAUAAGAUGUGCCCUUGAUAUGUUUUUUUCUGAUCAACGGCAGGGUACAUAGUACGGCUUUCUUCACUAAAGAUUCUGUAUUUUAAUCAACUUUGCUUUUGUUGUUCAGUUUAGAUUAGAAGGGUAUAGUGCUUGAAAUGGCCAAGCGGGAUGCAUAUUUAUUCAAUGGUUGCUAAUCAUUUCAGAACUGCCUUGCUGACACACAUAACGUUAAGAGGUUUUUGAUUUUGAUGCAUUACUCGUGAAUUUGAUUCUUCAGGAAUGUUACGGGGGACUGCAAGAUUGAAGUUAAAAUAAAGUUAAGGGUCAUUAUAAUAUAGGAGGACCAUUGUUUGUAGAAUAGCUUUCACUUCAGAAUUAAGAAAGUACGUACGGUAUGUGGUAAUGAAUAGAGGAUGAAUGAGCACCAUUAACUCAUUAUACUAUUUGGUAUUUGCAUUCUAAACCCAUGAAAAAUAAUUGUUUUUAUUUCAUUUAUUUAAUGUAAUUUGCUUCAUAAAAUUGAUCUUUUUGUUGGUAGCAGGUUGAGCUUGAAGCUUGAAUCUCGAAGGAUAUUGUUAGGAAUGAUUUUCAAUGAGAAACUAUCUUGAGUUGGGUUGGUUCCUUUUUAACUGCCAUCGUUUCUUUUGGUUUGAGGCAAGUUCGCCAAUCCAAGUUUGGAAAAGGUGAAGUUUAUGAGUGAGAGGUUCUUUCAAAACAGAUCUUGAGGCUGACUGUUCUUCUUUGAAAUCUUUGUUACUGUACUCAAAAUAUGAAGGCAUGAUGAUAGAAUAGUCAAGUAAAGUGCCACCUGUUAGAUUUCAAGAGCUCGAUCAUAUUCUUGGUUGGAUUCAAAAUCCAUUUCUGUUGGGUGGUAACUUUAAACAUGAAAUUUUGAGGAUUCAUCAUAAGUGUUUUAGAAAAGCACCUCAAGGCUCGAUCCAAAUGAGAUGUCCAAUAAUUAUUAAGAGAAGCCAUAUUUGGAAAUGGAUAUCCAUAGGUUUGCUUUGAGCAAAAACAUUGGUAGAUUAUUCCGAGCAUACUGUAGAUGAGACAAUUAUGCUUUGAGAAGAUGAACAAUGAAAGGCUGCAUGUAAUCAAUGGAGGUGUGGUAAGUAUUAGGAAAAUUUUCUCUAUGACA